AACGAACGCUGGCGGCAGGCUUAACACAUGCAAGUCGAACGAACGUAGCAAUACGUUAGUGGCAGACGGGUGAGUAACGCGUGGGAAUAUGCCCUAUGGUUUGGAAUAACUCAGGGAAACUUGAGCUAAUACCGGAUAAGCCCGAGAGGGGAAAGAUUUAUCGCCAUUGGAGUAGCCCGCGUCUGAUUAGCUAGUUGGUGAGGUAAUGGCUCACCAAGGCGACGAUCAGUAGCUGGUCUGAGAGGAUGAUCAGCCACACUGGGACUGAGACACGGCCCAGACUCCUACGGGAGGCAGCAGUGGGGAAUAUUGGACAAUGGGGGCAACCCUGAUCCGGCCAUGCCGCGUGAGUGAUGAGGGCCUUAGGGUUGUAAAACUCUUUUAUCCGGGAAGAUAAUGACUGUACCGGAAGAAUAAGCCCCGGCUAACUUCGUGCCAGCAGCCGCGGUAACAC
rnacentral:rRNA from 1 species